UCAGUGUGUGAGUGCAGCAAAAUGGCAGAGGCCUGUAUUUCACUCACUCACUUUUCAGUGGAUCAAUUCAGCUGUCCAGUGUGUCUAGAUCUCCUGAAGGAUUCGGUGACUACUCGCUGUGGUCACAGCUACUGUAAAGUGUGUAUUAAUGACUGCUGGGAUCAGGAGGAUGAGAAAGGCAUCUACAGAUGUCCUCAGUGCAGAGACACUUUCACUCUGAGGCCUGUUCUAUGCAGAAACAACAUGCUAGCUGAAGUGGUGGAGAAACUGAAGAGAACUGUCCAGAUUCCUUCUCCUUCUCUCUGUUACGCUGGACCUGGAGAUGUGGAGUGUGAUUUCUGCACCCAGAGAAAACACAAAGCCGUAAAGUCCUGUCUGAUGUGUCUGACCUCCUUUUGUGAAGCUCAUCUUAAACCUCAUCUUGAACUUCCUGCUCUGCCAGAGUUUCCAGUCUCUCUGUAUCUCUUCUGACCAUGAGGAUUCACUCAGCAUCAUUGUCCAUCAAAAUCUCUCAUUUGAUAGAGUAAGGGAUUCUAUCUUAGAUCUAAAAAAGCAAUUGGAAAAAUUCUGCGAGGACGAAUUCAACAAAAUCCCUUCACAUGGUAAGAGGAGCUGUUCCUGCUGGAGAAACAUCACAAUGGAAAUAGUCACAAGAUACACAGAAAUGACACUUUUAACUAAAAGACUGAUGUAAAAUGAAAAAUGUUCACUGUAGGGGCGGCAUGGUGGCUUACUGGCUUAGUACGUUUACCUCACACCUCCAGCGUCCUGGGUUUGAGUCUUGCUCCCGCUCACUAUGUGUGUGGAGUUUGAAUGUUCUCCCUGUGCUUGGUGGGUUUCCUCCCACAGUCCAAAGACAUGCUUCUAGGCUGAUUGGAGUCUCUAAAUUGCCUGUAGUGUGUGAUUGUGUGUGUGUGCCCUGUGAUGGGUUGGCACUCUGUCCUGGUGUAUCCUGCCUUGACGCCUGAGAUAGGCACAGGCUCCUUGUGACCCCAGGAUAGAUCAGAUAAGUAGUACAGACAAUGAAAUGAAAUGAUCACUUUAAGCCAUUUUGGUCUUUUACAGAACUUUAUGACUCAUUUCUGUCUUUAACUCCAUUUUGUCUCCACAGCUGCAACAGUUCAGAAGAUUUCAUCUUCAGAGCCAAAGAGCAGAGAAGAAUUUCUGAAAUAUUUCUGUUAUCUGACUCUGGAUGCUAAUACAGUAAAUCGUUACCUCCAUCUGUCUGAGAAGAACAGAGAGGCAAUAUGGAGUAUGAUAAAGCUGUACCCUGAUCAUCGAGAGAGAUUUGAUGCCUGUAGUCAGGUGUUGUGUGAGGAGAGUGUGUGUGGACGCUGUUACUGGGAGGUGGAGUGGAGUGGUGUUGGAGGUGUGUCCAUCUCAGUCUCAUAUAAAGAGAUCAAGAGAAAAGGAUCAGGUAAAGAGAGUUGGUUUGGACGAAACAGUCAGUCCUGGAGUUUGUGCCGUUUUUCUUCCUCUUUCUCUUUCUAUCACAAUGACAUGAAAACUGAGCUCAGAGUUCCAUCAUCUUCCAGAACAGGAGUGUAUGUGGAUCACAGCGCAGGAAGUCUGUCCUUCUACAGUGUCUCUGACUCGAUGAGACUGAUCCACAGAGUCCACACCACAUUCACUCAACCUCUUUAUGCUGGGUUUUGGGUUUAUGGAGGAACUGUGAGGUUUUGUGAUCCAAACAAAUAGUAGAUAGUAAAAAUUCCUGCUCAUUUCCUCAUUGUUCCUUAAU